CUGAGUUUAUUACACCCCCAGCAAGACACACAAGAAAUGUAACUGGACUGAUGAUCAUCACAAAUCAGUCCAGAAAAAAAAAAAAUUCAAAACACAUGCACGGGGAUCUUUUUUUUUUUUUUUUUUUUUCAAAGAAGCUCUGCCACAUGCAUUCCAAGAGGAACGUGGAAUUCAAGUUAGAGGGCUCUAAGUGGAAGAGAGAAGAGGCACAACCAUAUGAUUUGUGGUUGGAACAGAAAAAGGACGUCUGAUGUUCUCCUUCCUCCCCCUACCCUAAUGUUCGGCGCUUGGAGACGGACGGUCUGCUAAACUUAUCAUUUAACGUAGAGAAUCAAGUUGUUGAGACUGGCUUUUCUUCCAACCGGAUACCUGAAGGGUGGAGCAGGCGCCCCCUGUUCUGUCCCAGCAACCUACGAAGACUUCCGAACAGGAAGUAUUCAUCAAACAGAAAAGGAUAAAAAAUGAGUUUAUUCAUAAUGGCUAUUAUAGGCUCUGAAGUGUCAGUAACAUGCUGAAGGCGGGGCUCCCUGUGGUCCACGUUAAUCCACUACAGCUGAGGCUCAUUACCUGUGACGCCUUAGACAAGGACAAGAGACAAGAGAGGGAAGAAAACGAAGAGAUUAAUAUACACGUACAGAAACACAAGCAUAUUCAUAACAAAUAAAGAAGGAAUACUCAUGACA